AUGCCCUGCGACGAAGACGAGAGCAAGGCGGAGUUGCAACCAUGGCGACGGGGGAGCUGCGACGGCAGCGCCCGGUGCUACAACCGUGACGGCAUAAGCUGCAUCCACCUGCCCCCCGCUGCUCCGGCGAGCACCACACCCACCUGCGUCGUGCUGCUCCGGCGAGCGGCCGCAUCCACCUCCCACCGCGUUGCACCAGCGAGCAGCCGCAUCCACCUCCCACCGCGCUGCUACGGCGAGUGCCUCACCUCCACCUGCCCCCAUUUUGCUCCGGUGAGCGACGCGCCUCCACCUGUGCUGGAAUGGCGGCUGCACCAUGGACUAGCGGAAGAGAUGCUGGAAAUAGCCCUGGCGGGAGCUGCAGUCGGCGAUAUUUUUUGCUACAUCUGGUUACUAUUUUUGCUGGAAUCAACAACAUUUUUUUUGCUACGAUCCACAUUUAGAGUGCUUUUUGCUGAAACCGCUCCCAAAUUUUGCUACCAUGGUUUUGUUUUUUGCUACAACCAUUGCAUCCCCUGUCUUUUGAUUUUUUUGCUAGAUCCAUCUAUAUGCUGGAACAAUUCCAAGUUUUGCUACCACGGUUUUUUAUUUUUGCUACUGCCGUCUUAG
rnacentral:rRNA from 1 species